UACAGAGGUCCCGAGCGUUGUUCGGAUUCACUGGGCGUAAAGGGGGCGUAGGUGGUGAGGUAAGUCGGAUGUGAAAGCUCCAAGCUCAACUUGGAAAUGGCAUUGGAAACUACCUUGCUAGAGGGUUUGAGGGGGGACUGGAAUACUUGGUGUAGCAGUGAAAUGCGUAGAUAUCAAGUGGAACACCAGUGGCGAAGGCGAGUCCCUGGAAAACUCCUGACACUGAGGCACGAAAGCUAGGGGAGCAAACAGG
rnacentral:rRNA from 1 species